AGAGUUUGAUCCUGGCUCAGGACGAACGCUGGCACUGGUGGCGUGCCUAAUACAUGCAAGUAGACGAACGGGUGAGUAACGCGUAGGUAACCUACCUCAUAGCGGGGGAUAACUAUUGGAAACGAUAGCUNNNAAUACCGCAUAAGAGAGACUAACGCAUGUUAGUAAUUUAAAAGGGGCAAUUGCUCCACUAUGAGAUGGACCUGCGACGGUUGUAUUAGCUAGUUGGUGAGGUAAAGGCUCACCAAGGCGACGAUACAUAGCCGACCUGAGAGGGUGAUCGGCCACCGUCACUGGGACUGAGACACGGCCCAGACUCCUACGGGAGGCAGCAGUAGGGAAUCUUCGGCAAUGGGGGCAACCCUGACCGAGCAACGCCGCGUGAGUGAAGAAGGUUUUCGGAUCGUAAAGCUCUGUUGUUAGAGAAGAAUGAUGGUGGGAACGUUGUGGAAAAUCCACCAAGUGACGGUAACUAACCAAGGGACGGCUAACUACGUGCCAGCAGCCGCGGUAAUACGUAGGUCCCGAGCGUUGUCCGGAUUUAUUGGGCGUAAAGCGAGCGCAGGCGGUUUUUUAAGUCUGAAGUUAAAGGCAUUGGCUCAACCAAUGUACGCUUUGGAAACUGGAGAACUUGAGUGCAGAAGGGGAGAGUGGAAUUCCAUGUGUAGCGGUGAAAUGCGUAGAUAUAUGGAGGAACACCGGUGCUAGCGGCUCUCUGGUCUGUAACUGACGCUGAGGCUCGAAAGCGUGGGGAGCAAACAGGAUUAGAUACCCUGGUAGUCCACGCCGUAAACGAUGAGUGCUAGGUGUUAGGCCCUUUCCGGGGCUUAGUGCCGGAGCUAACGCAUUAAGCACUCCGCCUGGGGAGUACGACCGCAAGGUUGAAACUCAAAGGAAUUGACGGGGGCCCGCACAAGCGGUGGAGCAUGUGAACCUUCGUUUAAUUCGAAGCAACGCGAAGAACCUUACCAGGUCUUGACAUCCCGAUGCCCGCUCUAGAGAUAGAGUUUUACNNUUCGGUACAUCGGUGACAGGUGGUGCAUGGUUGUCGUCAGCUCGUGUCGUGAGAUGUUGGNGUUAAGUCCCGCAACGAGCGCAACCCCUAUUGUUAGUUGCCAUCAUUAAGUUGGGCACUCUAGCGAGACUGCCGGUAAUAAACCGGAGGAAGGUGGGGAUGACGUCAAAUCAUCAUGCCCCUUAUGACCUGGGCUACACACGUGCUACAAUGGUUGGUACAACGAGUCGCAAGCCGGUGACGGCAAGCUAAUCUCUUAAAGCCAAUCUCAGUUCGGAUUGUAGGCNUGCAACUCGCCUACAUGAAGUCGGAAUCGCUAGUAAUCGCGGAUCAGCACGCCGCGGUGAAUACGUUCCCGGGCCUUGUACACACCGCCCGUCACACCACGAGAGUUUGUAACACCCG
rnacentral:rRNA from 1 species